rnacentral:rRNA from 1 species
AGCAGCCGCGGUAAUUCCAGCUCCAAUAGCGUAUAUUAAAGUUGUUGCAGUUAAAAAGCUCGUAGUUGAAUUUCGGGAUUAAUAUGUUGGUCGUGCCUUGGUACGUACUGGCAUUAUUGAUUCCUACCUUCUGAAGAACCUCGAUGUCAUUAAUUUGGUGUCUUGGGGAAUCAGGACCGUUACUUUGAAAAAUUAGAGUGUUUAAAGCAGGCUCGCGCUUGAAUACAUUAGCAUGGAAUAAUGAAAUAGGACGUUUGAUUCUAUUUUGUUGGUUUCUAGGAUCGACGUAAUGAUUAAUAGGGAUAGUUGGGGGCAUUAGUAUUCAAUUGUCAGAGGUGAAAUUCUUGGAUUUAUUGAAGACUGACUACUGCGAAAGCAUUUGCCAAGGAUGUUUUCAUUAAUCAAGAACGAAAGUUAGGGGAUCGAAGACGAUCAGAUACCGUCGUAGUCUUAACCAUAAACUAUGCCGACUAGGGAUC